UACGUAGGGUGCAAGCGUUAAUCGGAAUUACUGGGCGUAAAGGGCGCGUAGGCGGUCUUGCAAGUCCCGUGUGAAAUCCCUCGGCUCAACUGAGGAACUGCACGGGAAACUGCUUGGCUUGAGUUCGGGAGAGGGAAGCGGAAUUCCGGGUGGUAGCGGUGAAUGACGCAGAGUAUCAGGAGGAACACCGAUGGCGAAGGCAGCUCGCUGGGACGGUACUGACGCUGAGGCGCGAAAGCGUGGGGAGCGAACAGG
rnacentral:rRNA from 1 species